rnacentral:rRNA from 1 species
AACGAACGCUGGCGGCGUGCCUAACACAUGCAAGUCGUGCGGGAAAGUUUCCUUCGGGGAGCGAGUAAAGCGGCGCACGGGUGAGUAACACGUAGGUAACCUACCUCAUAGUCGGGAAUAACCCGGGGAAACUCGGGCUAAUGCCGGAUAAGACCACGGCUGCUUCGGUAGCCGAGGCCAAAGACGGCCUCUACACGUAAGCUGUCGCUAUGGGAUGGGCCUGCGGCCCAUUAGCUAGUUGGUAGGGAACGGCCUACCAAGGCUGUGAUGGGUAGCUGGUCUGAGAGGAUGAUCAGCCACACUGGGACUGAGACACGGCCCAGACUCCUACGGGAGGCAGCAGUGGGGAAUAUUGCGCAAUGGGGGAAACCCUGACGCAGCGACGCCGCGUGGGUGAUGAAGGCCU